CUUUGCCAGUUGCAAUUUGAUAAUUUAGCAUAGAGAAGCUAUAGCAAACAUGCGAGCAAUUUUGGAACUUUGGACACCCAGAAAUUGUAACAUGUCAAUAACCAUUUCGAUUAAGUCGUUCUUUCACCGUUCAGGGGAAAAAAAAAAUCCUGUGCUUCUGUAAAUGAUGGCUAAUGAUAAUCCUUUCUAUUUAUCUCCUUGUAUAAAAAAGGGGGAAAUUGGUAAAGUGAACAUCAAACGAUUCCUCCUAACUUCAAACUGUGUUUUACAUUGAAGUCAAUUACUACUCUUCCCAAGUUGCACCCAACACCUUUGC
rnacentral:misc_RNA from 1 species